AGAGUUUGAUCAUGGCUCAGGACGAACGCUGGCGGCGUGCCUAAUACAUGCAAGUCGAGCGAGCUUGCCUAGAUGAAUUUGGUGCUUGCACCAAAUGAAACUAGAUACAAGCGAGCGGCGGACGGGUGAGUAACACGUGGGUAACCUGCCCAAGAGACUGGGAUAACACCUGGAAACAGAUGCUAAUACCGGAUAACAACACUAGACGCAUGUCUAGAGUUUAAAAGAUGGUUCUGCUAUCACUCUUGGAUGGACCUGCGGUGCAUUAGCUAGUUGGUAAGGUAACGGCUUACCAAGGCAAUGAUGCAUAGCCGAGUUGAGAGACUGAUCGGCCACAUUGGGACUGAGACACGGCCCAAACUCCUACGGGAGGCAGCAGGUAGGGAAUCUUCCACAAUGGACGCAAGUCUGAUGGAGCAACGCCGCGUGAGUGAAGAAGGGUUUCGGCUCGUAAAGCUCUGUUGGUAGUGAAGAAAGAUAGAGGUAGUAACUGGCCUUUAUUUGACGGUAAUUACUUAGAAAGUCACGGCUAACUACGUGCCAGCAGCCGCGGUAAUACGUAGGUGGCAAGCGUUGUCCGGAUUUAUUGGGCGUAAAGCGAGUGCAGGCGGUUCAAAUAAGGUCUGAUGUGAAAGCCUUCGGCUCAACCGGAGAAAUUGCAUCGAGAAACUGUUGAACUUGAGUGCAGAAGAGGAGAGUGGAACUCCAUGUGUAGCGGUGGAAUGCGUAGAUAUAUGGAAGAACACCAGUGGCGAAGGCGGCUCUCUGGUCUGCAACUGACGCUGAGGCUCGAAAGCAUGGGUAGCGAACAGGAUUAGAUACCCUGGUAGUCCAUGCCGUAAACGAUGAGUGCUAAGUGUUGGGAGGUUUCCGCCUCUCAGUGCUGCAGCUAACGCAUUAAGCACUCCGCCUGGGGAGUACGACCGCAAGGUUGAAACUCAAAGGAAUUGACGGGGGCCCGCACAAG
rnacentral:rRNA from 1 species